rnacentral:rRNA from 1 species
UAAUACGUAGGGGGCAAGCGUUGUCCGGAUUUAUUGGGCGUAAAGAGCGUGUAGGCGGCUAGAUAGGUCCGUUGUGAAAACUCGAGGCUCAACCUCGAGACGUCGAUGGAAACCAUCUGGCUAGAGUCCGGAAGAGGAGAGUGGAAUUCCUGGUGUAGCGGUGAAAUGCGCAGAUAUCAGGAAGAACACCCGUGGCGAAGG